GAUCUGGUGAGUAACAGUGUAUGAAGUAGCCCGUUGCCAUGGCGUCAGAUGCCAGCCACAUGCUGGAGGAAGCUUUGGAGCAAAUGGAGGCAGCCUUGGAGUAAAUGGAUGACAUUAUCGCUGGACGACACUGGCCCAAUUGGAUGACACUGGCCCAAUUGGACGACACUGGCUCAAUUGGUCGCAGACACUCUUAUCCAGAGCAACUUACAAUUGCUUCAACUAAGGUCCAUAACACCACAUGUCAUAGUCAUAGAAUGUAAAAACGCUCCUCAGUAAAGCAGCUGUCAGCAAAAUCGGUGCAAGAAAGACAAAUACAACAGUAAGGUUUGAUUUAUAUUUUCUUUACACACACACUCUCUUUCCCGUAAGGGGCACAAGACACACGGCUCUAAUAAUGAAGAUAGCAUAGUGCUAAUGACCCCCAGCAGACUGCUCUAAGACUGAGAAAACAGUGACAUCACCCAUAGAGAUGGUAAUACAGGCUAGCAUAAUGCUAAUAAUGAAGAUAGCAUAGUGCUAAUGACCCCCAGCAGACUGCUCUAAGACUGAGAAAACAGUGACAUCACCCAUAGAGAUGGUAAUACAGGCUAGCAUAAUGCUAAUAAUGAAGAUAGCAUAGUGCUAAUGACCCCCAGCAGACUGCUCUAAGACUGAGAAAACAGUGACAUCACCCAUAGAGAUGGUAAUACAGGCUAGCAUAAUGCUAAUAAUGAAGAUAGCAUAGUGCUAAUGACCCCCAGCAGACUGCUCUAAGACUGAGAAAACAGUGACAUCACCCAUAGAGAUGGUAAUACAGGCUAGCAUAAUGCUAAUAAUGAAGAUAGCAUAGUGCUAAUGACCCCCAGCAGACUGCUCUAAGACUGAGAAAACAGUGACAUCACCCAUAGAGAUGGUAAUACAGGCUAGCAUAAUGCUAAUAAUGAAAAUUCUAGCAAUUCCCGGAAUAGGGCUACAACUUUGGUGACAUGAGAUCAUGAAUAUAUAUCUGUGCAGACUAGUGUACAUUUUAAAAGACCAUUAGAGCACAGCACUUUGACACACUGCAUUUACUCAUAGAGGCAGUCAAUACAACAUACAAUGUCUUUACAAUAUCCCUAUAGAGAACACUUUCUUAGCUGACAGCAUUCAGGCACUGUAGAAGAUAGCGUUGUAGUGGGAGUGUGCCCUCUAGUGGUCUGGCUAGGUAGCAGUUGGAUGUUUUCAAUUAUUUCACACAGUAUGUUGAUGUAUUCAGUGACAUCAAACCUACAUGAGACAUUCAUCAGCACAUAAUACUUUCACUCAGCAAUCCUGACAGCCUGUUUGUGGAGUGGGCACAUACAAUAUAUUCAACACCGAACAGUUUAUAGUAAUCCGAUUUCAGAAAAUCAAAACAAGUCAAAAUGGAUUGCUAGACUCUGGGAGAGCUAGCGUUAAGGCUCUGAUGGCUGUAUCUCCACUAUGAGGCAAAAUCUCUG
rnacentral:lncRNA from 1 species